rnacentral:rRNA from 1 species
AUUGAACGCUGGCGGCAGGCCUAACACAUGCAAGUCGAACGAGUGGCGGACGGGUGAGUAAUGUCUGGGAAACUGCCUGAUGGAGGGGGAUAACUACUGGAAACGGUAGCUAAUACCGCAUACCAUCAGAUGUGCCCAGAGGGGAUGGACUAGUUGGUGGGGUAACGGCUCACCAAGGCGACGAUCCCUAGCUGGUCUGAGAGGAGGAACAGCCACACUGGAACUGAGACACGUUCCAGACUCCUCCGGGAGGCAGCAGUGGGGAAGUUUGGACAAUGGGGGAAACCCUGAUCCAGCCAUCCCGCGUGUAUGAAGAAGGCCUUCGGGUUGUAAAGUACUUUCAGCGGGGAGGCGUUACCCGCAGAAGAAGCACCGGCUAACUCCGUGCCAGCAGCCGCGGUAAUUC